AGCGAACGCUGGCGGCAGGCCUAACACAUGCAAGUCGAACGGAUCCUUCGGGAUUAGUGGCGGACGGGUGAGUAACACGUGGGAACGUGCCCUUUGGUUCGGAACAACUCAGGGAAACUUGAGUUAAUACCGGAUGUGCCCUUCGGGGGAAAGAUUUAUCGCCAUUGGAGCGGCCCGCGUCUGAUUAGCUAGUUGGUGAGGUAAAGGCUCACCAAGGCGACGAUCAGUAGCUGGUCUGAGAGGAUGAUCAGCCACAUUGGGACUGAGACACGGCCCAAACUCCUACGGGAGGCAGCAGUGGGGAAUCUUGCGCAAUGGGCGAAAGCCUGACGCAGCCAUGCCGCGUGAAUGAUGAAGGUCUUAGGAUUGUAAAAUUCUUUCACCGGGGACGAUAAUGACGGUGCCCGGAGAAGAAGCCCCGGCUAACUUCGUGCCAGCCGCCGCUGUAAAAC
rnacentral:rRNA from 1 species